GGAAGGAUCAUUAUUGAAUUAUGUUUUCUAGAUGGGUUGUAGCUGGCUCUUCGGAGCAUGUGCACACCUGUUUGGACUUCAUUUUCAUCCACCUGUGCACCUUUUGUAGUCUUUUUCAGGUAUUGAAGGAAGUGGUCAGCCUAUCAGCUCUUUGCUGGAUGUAAGGACUUGCAGUGUGAAAACAGUGCUGUCCUUUACCUUGACCAUGGACUCUUUUUCCUGUUAGAGUCUAUGUUAUUCAUUAUACUCUUAGAAUGUCAUUGAAUGUCUUUACAUGGGCUAUGCCUAUGAAAAUUAUUAUACAACUUUCAGCAACGGAUCUCUUGGCUCUCGCAUCGAUGAAGAACGCAGCGAAAUGCGAUAAGUAAUGUGAAUUGCAGAAUUCAGUGAAUCAUCGAAUCUUUGAACGCAUCUUGCGCUCCUUGGUAUUCCGAGGAGCAUGCCUGUUUGAGUGUCAUUAUAUUCUCAACUCCCCAAUACCUUGUUGUAAAGGAGAGCUUGGAUUGUGGAGGUUUGCUGGCCCCUGCUUGGGGUCAGCUCCUCUGAAAUGCAUUAGCGGAACCGUCUGCGAUCUGCCACAAGUGUGAUAACUUAUCUACACUGGCGAGGGGAUUGCUUUCUGUGAUGUUCAGCUUCUAAUCGUCUAAGGACAAAUUCUUGAAUGCUUGACCUCAAAUCAGGUAGGACUACCCGCUGAACUUAA
rnacentral:rRNA from 1 species